UACGUAGGGUGCGAGCGUUUAAUCGGAAUUACUGGGCGUAAAGCGUGCGCAGGCGGUUUUGUAAGCCAGAUGUGAAAUCCCCGGGCUUAACCUGGGAAUGGCAUUUGGGACUGCAAGGCUUGAGUGCGGCAGAGGAGACUGGAAUUCCUGGUGUAGCAGUGAAAUGCGUAGAUAUCAGGAGGAACACCGAUGGCGAAGGCAGGUCUCUGGGCUGACAC
rnacentral:rRNA from 1 species